GUAGUCCACGCCGUAAACGGUGGGUACUAGGUGUGGGUUUCCUUCCUUGGGAUCCGUGCCGUAGCUAACGCAUUAAGUACCCCGCCUGGGGAGUACGGCCGCAAGGCUAAAACUCAAAGAAAUUGACGGGGGCCCGCACAAGCGGCGGAGCAUGUGGAUUAAUUCGAUGCAACGCGAAGAACCUUACCUGGGUUUGACAUGCACAGGACGUGCCUAGAGAUAGGUAUUCCCUUGUGGCCUGUGUGCAGGUGGUGCAUGGCUGUCGUCAGCUCGUGUCGUGAGAUGUUGGGUUAAGUCCCGCAACGAGCGCAACCCUUGUCUCAUGUUGCCAGCACGUCAUGGUGGGGACUCGUGAGAGACUGCCGGGGUCAACUCGGAGGAAGGUGGGGAUGACGUCAAGUCAUCAUGCCCCUUAUGUCCAGGGCUUCACACAUGCUACAAUGGCCGGUACAAAGGGCUGCGAUGCCGUGAGGUGGAGCGAAUCCUUUAAAGCCGGUCUCAGUUCGGAUCGGGGUCUGCAACUCGACCCCGUGAAGUCGGAGUCGCUAGUAAUCGCAGAUCAGCAACGCUGCGGUGAAUA
rnacentral:rRNA from 1 species